AGGACGAACGCUGGCGGCGUGCUUAACACAUGCAAGUCGAGCGGUGAUCCUCCUUCGGGAGGUGGUCAGCGGCGAACGGGUGAGUAACACGUGGGCAACCUGCCCCUCACACUGGGAUAACCUCGGGAAACCGGGGCUAAUACCGGAUACGACCUCGAGCGGCAUCUCUUGAGGUGGAAAGCUCCGACGGUGAGGGAUGGGCCCGCGGCCUAUCAGCUUGUUGGUGGGGUAAUGGCCUACCAAGGCGACGACGGGUA
rnacentral:rRNA from 1 species